rnacentral:sRNA from 1 species
UUAUAGAAAAUGUGGAAAGUAUUGAAAAAUACAAAGAGAAGGAAUAAAAUUCUCACACUCCAGAUAGUCUUUGUUGAUGUACAGUGUACGUACUUUCAUUUUUUUAACUAUGCUUUUAAAAAAUACCUUAUAUGAAUAUAUAUACACAUCCACAACAACCAGGUUUUGAAUACCUAGAAAGAGUUAGAACCCAACAAGAUGACCCCUGUGUCAUAGAACAUAGUUUCUAUUUGCUGAAACUGACUCCCUAGAUUAACUGUAGGAUUGGACUUUAAUGAAAGAUUUAUUGAUUGUUCCACCUACAGAUGAAUCUAUAGAGCUUUACAUACAGAAUCUGAUUCUUUUUCUCUCUCUCCCCCCUUCUUCCCCCUCCACCCCCUCUUUACUGUCUACUCUGUUUUCCUAGGAACUCUAGCCAAGAACCACGGCCUACACUCUCCAACACAAUCCAGAGGCCACAACUAGGUCCCACAGCUAAUUUACCCCUGGAGAUGGGCUCAGGACAGCUGGCACCCAGGCAGCAGCAACAGCAAACAGAAUUGGACAUGGUACCAGGA